UCUUCUUUUUUGUGGUUACGUUGUUACUUUUCUUUCUCUUCUUGUUCGCCUUCGAUUUCUGAGAGGAGGAGGGUCUCAGUUUCCGUUUCUUCUUUUUCGAUGAGAAAAGACU
rnacentral:ribozyme from 14 species